rnacentral:rRNA from 1 species
UACGUAGGGUGCAAGCGUUAUCCGGAAUUAUUGGGCGUAAAGAGCUCGUAGGCGGUCUGUCGCGUCUGCUGUGAAAACCGGAGGCUCAACCUCCGGCCUGCAGUGGGUACGGGCAGACUAGAGUGCGGUAGGGGAGAUUGGAAUUCCUGGUGUAGCGGUGGAAUGCGCAGAUAUCAGGAGGAACACCGAUGGACGAAGGCCAGAGUCUCUGG